rnacentral:rRNA from 1 species
GACGAACGCUGGCGGCAUGCCUAACACAUGCAAGUCUAGGGGUAGCAAUACCACUGGCGCACGGGUGAGUAACACGUAGGUUAUCUGCCCCCAUCACAGACAUAACCCCGGGAAACCGGGGCUAAUAUCUGAUGAGGUCGCGAGAUCAAAGCUUCGGCGGAUGGGGAUGAGCCUGCGGCUGAUUAGCUAGUUGGUGAGGUAAUGGCUCACCAAGGCGACGAUCAGUAGCUGGUCUGAGAGGACGAACAGCCACACUGGAACUGAGACACGGUCCAGACCUCCUACGGGAGCAGCAGUGAGGAAUAUUGGUCAAGUGGGAGCAAUCCUGAAUCAGCAAUGCCGCGUGUGGGAU